CUCUCCUCGCCUCAGCUGCUCCCGACACAGAUGCCCCUGUGGACACCAACCUCAUUGAAUUUGAUACCAACUACGCCACGGACGAUGACAUCGUGUUCGAGGACUUCGCCCGGCUUCGGCUGAAGGGGAUGAAGGACGAGGACUACGAGGACCAGUUCUGCUAGGAGGAGGGGGUGGGCGCUGCUGGGGGAGGGAGGGCCCCUGCCUCUCCACUCCGCAGCUCCCCGGCCCCCCUCCUCCCCUCCCUCCCUUGCCAGUCGCCCCCAGACACGCACUGGACCCAUCUCUUGUAGAACGUGGGCAUUACUCUUUGGACUCCAGCUGUGCCUCUCCCCAAACCCCCCAGAGGGUGGCAAGCUGUGUUCAAACCUAAAUUUUGCAAGGGGGUUGCUGAAAAGACAGUAGGGAAAUUGGGGAGAAGGAACCCCCGCAUUCAACCUCACACCAACAGCUUCCCUUUCCUUCGAGAGGAGACUCUCUUCUGCGGGGGAGGGGGGGCAAGGCCACUUCUUUGUUUCUGAGCAUAAAGAAGAAAUUAAACCUUUUAAUAGGCGGAA